UGUGAUGGUGGCUCCUGUAGUUUGUUAGGCUCCCCUACCUCACUCCCAUCCAAGGUUGUUAGCUUCAUUUCUCUCCUCCGCGCUUUUGAUAGUGAGCGCUCGUCCACGCCAAGCAGCACCAAUCCAGGAAAUUCAGCAAAGCUGAGGAAGACAGAACUAGAGCAGAGAGGAAGCGGAACAGAACACUCUGUUAUGAAGAUGUGAAUUUGCUCCCAGUACGAUUCCAUAACUCCAGCCACCAUGAGCUCAUCUGCUGCCAUUGGAGCUAUCAGUGGCUUCAAGGAUAGGCUCCACUCCUUCAGUCCCAUCCAAGAUUGUUAGGUUCAUUUCUCUCCUCCUGCUACUGCGCAUUGGACAGCGAGCGCUUGUUUACGGCAAGCAGCACCGAUCCAGGCCUACUUUUGCUCCUGCUUGCUGUGCUACCUCCGGAGUGCCGGGAGAUGACAGGGUUUCUUGACACGGUAGUUGGCGCAGCAAUAGGAUGGCUGGUGCAAAGCAUCCUUGGGACCUUCUUCACUGAACAGAUUGAAGACUGGAGUCGUGAAAUUGGACUUGCUGAAGAUGUGGAGAAGCUCAAAUUUGAGAUGAGAAAUGUGGAGAUGGUUCUUGCUGCUGCCGAGGGAAGGAGGAUUGAAAACAAGCCUCUGGCACAUUCACUGGAUUUUCUCAGAGAGCUGCUUUAUGACUCGGAAGAUGUGAUGGACGAGCUCAAUUACUACCGACUCCAGCAACUGAUCGAAGAAGGUGCUUCACUCGUCUCUCUUGUUCCAUCUUUCUUGCUUUCAGCUUUUAUAUUUUUUUUGGCAAGUGCUUUCAGCUUUUAUAAUGGUGUUGGUUGUAAUUGUUACUUGGCCUACAGUUUACUACCUACGUUCUAAAAUGUUAGGUGCACACACAUUAUAAAAAAUAGGUUUGACCAACCAUUAGACUAAGGAUAUAUGCGUUAUAUACACAAAAGUGAUACCAUUAGAUUUGUAUUCAGAAGCAAUUUCCUGUCAUACAAUUUUUGUCACGUCAUCUAUGUAUAUUUUGUCACAUACCGUAUCACUGGUAGAAAACAGGGCUUUGGUCACAGGGCAAUAUUCACAUUAGUCCUGGUUCAGUCACGAACCGGGACUAAUGUGAGCAUUGGUCCCGGUUCGUGCGGCUAAAGGCAUUAGUCCCGGUUCAAAUGAGCCCUUUAGUCCCGGUUUGAGACAAGAACCGGGACUAAAGGGUGCGAUGCUGCUGUUCUCAUCCAUCCAUUAUUUCUCUCCUGUUCUUAAUGCUGCUGCUGCUGCUGCUGCUGAGCAUUUGAAGGAGCCGCCUGUCGACGGCAAGCCACACCAAUCCAGGUGAGCUUUAACCUUUACUUUCUUCAUUUCUUCCUCUGGGUUCCACUUAUAUCUUAGCUCUGAAAAAACCAGUUUUCAAACAGGAAAAAUCAAGGGAAAUUUCAGCAAGCUAUGUUAGCUCUG